rnacentral:tRNA from 1 species
GAAACUAAAAAUUUAAAGCCGCUAACUUUAAUUAUGUUACAAUAUUUUAACAUAGUUUCU